UACAGAGGUCCCAAGCGUUGUUCGGAUUCAUUGGGCGUAAAGGGUGCGUAGGCGGCGCGGUAAGUCGGGUGUGAAAUCUCGGAGCUUAACUCCGAAACUGCAUUCGAUACUGCCGUGCUUGAGGACUGGAGAGGAGACUGGAAUUUACGGUGUAGCGGUGAAAUGCGUAGAUAUUGUCAAGAACACCAAUUGCGAAGGCAGCUUACUAAAUUAUAACUGACGCUGAGGCACGAAAGUGUGGGUAUCAAACAGG
rnacentral:rRNA from 1 species